AGAUUUCCCCUCCAUACAGGAGGACAACGGUCCCGCUCUCCUUCCUCCUCCGCUUGGUCACGGUUGGCGACGCUCGCGCCAUGGCAGCCGGCUUGAACCCGGGGUGAGGCCAGAGCACCUCAGAGGUGCGGAGACCGAGGUCUGACGUCCUGGAGCUACCGAGUAAACCACAGUCUGCUGGGGUCAUCGAGUCUGGGCUAGGCCUGGCCGUUCCUGGCUCCAAGCUGAGAGCUGGGUCCAGGUCUGCUGUGUCACAUGCUUCUCCUCGUCCUUGGACAGUGACAACCAUAGGCCUGCUCUCUCAUGAGGGAGGCAGGAGCACAGAGGGCCAGGCCAGCUGUGCAAGCACCUUCCACCCUCCAGUGACAUCAUACCAGCUAAUGCCCCAUCGGCCAAAGCAAGUCACGUGACCAAACCCAGCAGUAACGGGACAAGGAGACGGACUCCACAUCUAGAGGCAAAAGCUACACAGUCACGUGACAAAGGGCACGGAUCCAGGGAAGGGAGGGGGAAGAACUGGGAACAAUGACCCUCAGUACUACAACCUCCCUUAGGUUUCAACAUCCCAUCCAGGGUGUAUUUCGAAGGAAAGAGAACCGUGGGCCGGGGAUUAGAGCAAGUGACCUCUUCUCUCCCUGUUGAGGUUUCCACACCCUUAAAACAGGGCCAAGGCUGUGACAUCGAAUCCUGUCCUGUGAGUCUGUGACGAAGUUAAACAAGCCAAUGCCAGAAAGUGCUCAGCAAGGCCGGGCGGGGGAAGAAGCUGAUAUUCACUGUUAGUGUUGCUGUGAACGCUCAAAGUCGUGGAAGUUUCCUUGAAAGUCUGAUUAGAGAAUCAUUCCAACAA